AGAACUUUUGCGAGCGGGGACAAAUGUAGUGUCUGUUCUUAUCAGUUUAAUAUGUGAUACAUCCUCGAUGAGAGGACUUUAUAUUAAACGGAUUUUUGGCGUUGGGAGUUAUCACCUUUC
rnacentral:snRNA from 1 species